rnacentral:lncRNA from 1 species
AUCGCCUCCUGACUCAAAUUCCUCCCUUUGAAAGUGAGGUCUCUUAUGAGUGACUCUGACUGGUGAGGUCCGAGUCACAUGUCUGUGCCCAGCUGCAAAGGAGACUGGGUAACCAAGUUUCUGAUUUCUGCCUUGGGGAGGUGUGACUCAUGAGGCUGGAGGCUCUGGAACUCGCCAAGGAUGUUUGUGUGACGUCAAACCAACUAACAACGAACAUGAUAAAGUCUGCUGCAAGGACGGUAAGUCCACAAGAACAGGAAAUGUCUUUUCUUUGCUGGUGGACCUCCUGCCCAUAGCUUGUGCCUGGCACAAGGUAGACAGUCCUUAGCUCCUUAUUGAAUGAAUGAAUAAAUGGCAGCAAGAGGGUGAUGCUCACUGUGGGGCUUGGACAUGAUGUCCUUUCAUUUACGGGUAUUUUGGGAGAGAGUUAAGCCACCUGGACAGCAAUUUGUGUCUUAUUUGGACCAUCUUGCCAACCAGUCUGCAAUCUGUGUCACUGGUCUGAUUCUCUACUCUUUGCGGGAUGGGCAGUGGUGUGGUCCCUGGGAUUAGGCAGAAAGCAACUGACCCAGUUCAACAGAGAGGGUUGAAGCAAACACGGUUAACGAUGAAAACCUGUAUUGAUUGCAACAAUCUCUACUUUACUCCACUGUUCCUCCAGCGGAUACUGUCUACCCAGCACCCAGUUCCCACUUCCUCCUCCCUCACAGGACCCCGUGUUUGUUUGUGCCUCUGGGAGAAGCUGGCCCCACCCCCAGCUCCUGGCUGACCUGAUUGGUCUGAGGUAAUUCCAUUUUUCUUGCCAGCGAUUGGUCAGGAAUGGGCCAAUGAGAUGCAAGGAGAUGUAAUGAGGGGUAGGGGGAAGUCUUUACACUCUGCAAGAGUCUCUGAGAGUUGUUCUCUUCUGUUUUUUUCUGAACGCUGUCGUGGGUGGAUCUAAGGCUCUGAACUGCCCUAGUCAUCUUGUGGUCUGGUCUGAAGAUGAUGGAUACACGAAAAAGAAUCACAGGACCAGGUUUCCAGAUCAUACCAGAUCUCCACCAGAUUCUGCCCUACCUCCAGGUUCCAGAGCUAGAGCAAAGUCACUGGGACAAACACCCCCGCCUCUCAGCUGAGGACACCACCCGAAGUUUGACCUGCGUCAGCCGUCCAUGUUUGCAGUUCCGCAGACCCAGCCUCUGGAGCCGGGGAGGAAGGGGAAGAGAGAAAGCACAGGGUUCCUCAGCGACUAGUUAGUUCCAGGUAUUUCCCAGGCUCUGUGCCGAGUGCUGGGGACACGGGCGUAACCGGCCCAGCCCUGCCCUCAGGGCUCCAGGAACGGGGGAGAAAAACUCCAUUCGUCAGGCUGUGAGCUCAGAUCAGAAGCAGAGGAGAGGCAAGGAUCCACAGGGGGCAGGAAGAGGAGAGGCACUGUCCUACCGAGGACCCAGGUUCACACAGGAGGUGGCUCUUGAGAUGACCCUCGGAGGGUGGGUAGACUCCGGUAGGUGCUGAGGAAGAGAGACUGCCUCUGAGAGGGGACCUGUGAGAAAAGGCACAGACUUCAGAAGGCUCGGGGGGGGGUCUGUGGCCUGAGGGGGCCAGAGGGACUUCAGGGGAGGAGGGUCGGGGCAGGGUGGGCUGGUCCUUAUCCCUGGGCGGGUGCUGGAGCAGGCUCAGAAGCAGAGCUGCCAGCUGGGCUGGUGGCCUUGUCAUGGCAUCGUUUUCCUUUGCAGCACACUGAGAGCUUGUGUGGGUGGGGCGUGGGCAUUUCAAUCCUCUGCCACUGACUCCUUUUAGGCCCCCGAGGAAGGCCUUUUGCCCAAGUGCCUGAGUUUCCCCACCAGGGGCCAGUGAAGCUGGAGGCUUUUCUCCGACCCCCCCCCGGAUGUGGAGGGCAUCUGCUUCCUGGCAUUGGCCUACUAGAUCUUAGGGGCCCUGGGGUCCCUCUGCCUCCAGGAUCUCCUGGGCUGUCUCCCUUCCCCCGCCUCCCCCCGGGCAUCACCUCCCUCUGGCCCUUCCCAGAGAUGGCGCUGUCUCCACCUUCUUUCCUCUGGACCAUAGAUGGUGGCUCUGGCCUCAGAGUAGAGCCCCAGGUGACUCAGCCUUCUCCCCAGGUGAAGGCCAAAUGGCUAGUGAACCAUGUGGAGUAGGGGUGAUUGGGCUUGGAGAAGGGCACCGCAAAGGCUGGCCCUGGAGGGAGGCUGGCAGCAAGCUCUUCAAUGCUAUGACAACCCUGGGAGGCAGGCGUGAUUGG